rnacentral:rRNA from 1 species
AACGAACGCUGGCGGCAGGCUUAACACAUGCAAGUCGAACGCCCCGCAAGGGGAGUGGCAGACGGGCGAGUAACGCGUGGGAACAUACCCUUUUCUACGGAAUAGCUCUGGGAAACUGGAAUUAAUACCGUAUACGCCCUACGGGGGAAAGAUUUAUCGGGGAAGGAUUGGCCCGCGUUGGAUUAGCUAGUGUGUGGGGUAAAGGCAUACCAAGGCGACGAUCCAUAGCUGGUCUGAGAGGAUGAUCAGCCACAUUGGGACUGAGACACGGCCCAAACUGCUCCGGGAGGCAGCAGUGGGGAAGAUUGGACAAUGGGCGCAAGCCUGAUCCAGCCAUGCCGCGUGAGUGAUGAAGGCCUUAGGGUUGUAAAGCUCUUUCACCGAUGAAGAUAAUGACGGUAGUCGGAGAAGAAGCCCCGGCUAACUUCGUGCCAGCCGCCGCAGUAAAAC